AAGUCGUAACAAGGUUUCCGUAGGUGAACCUGCGGAAGGAUCAUUAACACGUAUCCAAACGUUAAAACCCCCCCCGUGAACCUUCAUCCUGCUCUUGUAACCCGCGUAGUUCGCAAUCUCUGAUAAAUCAUAGCCCGGAAAGUUGUAGUGAUUCAGAGACCUCUGGCUACGUGCGAACAUUGGAACAGUUACAAUCGAGCGGUAGUUCUAUAGGCAAUGUUUCCCCAAGCAGUCAGUGUACAAAUGUUAACAAUGGAUAUCUUGGUUCUC
rnacentral:misc_RNA from 1 species